GGGGGGGGAGAUUGCAUACCAUGCUGUAUGUCUUCCAUUAUCAAAUAUUCAGCCAAGAUUUAAUUCUUUAUGUAAAAAUCAAUAAGAACCUCCAUCUCAUUAGUAUGCAAAAACCCUUGCGGUGGCAACACUGUUGAUAGACAGGUUGGCGGUUCGAAUCUGGGGAGAGCAGGUGAGCUCCCUCUAUCAGCUCCAGCUCCCCAUGUGAGGACAUGAAAUAAGCCUCCCACAGGAUGGUAAAGCAUCAAACAUCCAGGCGUCCCCCUGGACAAUGUCCUUGCAGACGGCCAAUUCUCACACCAGAAGUGACUUGCAGUUUCUCAAGUUGUUCUUGACAUGAAAAAAGUAUGUAAAAUUGCUUUCAUGUAUAUCAUAAAUUCUUUAUAAUUUAUUAUAAGUAAAUGUUUGAUUUGUAUAUCUAUUUUAUAUGUUUAUACGUUCAGGAUUGUGUAAAAAUUUCUUGUGUGUGGAAAAAAGCUUAAGAAACCCUGUGUUAGAUAAGCUUAAUGGGACUUAACAAAACACCUGAAGGAUCAAAAUUUGGAAACCAAUCCAACCAGUGAGGUACCACAAAAGUUCCCCAUAGAGAGAUUUUCCCUUGUGAACCUCUAUGCAUCAACUGGGGACAUCAAAUGCCCCUCAAACUAUGGACAAAAUAUGCUGAUGAUUCCACGUUUAGUCUCUAUUCAAAGAGAUAGUCGGGAAAAUUAGUGUAUUCUCCACAGCCUGAAGCAGCAUCAACCACUAAUUUAAGUGCCACUGUUUUUAAGGUUCUAAUUGAAGCUUGGGUUUGUUUCUAAUUGCACCAUGCUAACUGUUUAUUGCUAAGUGUGCUGUGUACCAGCUUAGGUCCUUAAAAAGGAGAAAAGUCAUUUAAAAUAUGAGAACAAAAACAUUUGUAAAAUACAGUAGAGUCUCACUUAUCCAACAUAAAUGGGCCGGCAGAACGUUGGAUAAGUGAAUAUGUUGGAUAAUAAGGAGAGAUUAAGAAAAAGCCUAUUAAACAUCAAAAUAGGUUAUGAUUUUACAAAUUAAGCACCAAAACAUCAUGUUAUACAACAAAUUUGACAAAAAAGUAGUUGAAUACUCAGUAAUGCUAUGUAGUAAUUACUGUAUUUACAAAUUUAGCACCAAAAUAUCACAAUAUAUUGAAAACAUUGACUACAAGAAUGCGUUGGAUAAUCCAGAACGUUGGAUAAGCGAGUGUUGUAUAAGUGAGACUCUACUGUACAUAAGCAUUAUUGUGUCUUCGUUGAAAUGAAUGAAGAAGCAAUGUAUACAAGAGCAAUGUGCGGAGAGCUCAGUCAGUAAAAAAACAAAGUUAAGCAUACGUAAAAAGUUUAUCGUUGUCAAUGCUGUUUAUGGAAAAUUGUGAUAAAUAUAGCAAAAUAAGGUAGAAGGAACAGCAACACAAAGUACAACAUGUUUUGCCAUAUCUGGGUGAUCACUUACAGCUGCGGGUCAGGCAACAUACCUAAAUUCUUCUGUUUUGCCAUUGAUAUCUUGGUGUUCAGUUCAGACAGGCUAUCUGAAAAUCUCAAUUUUAUUCUGAAACUGCUAAAGGCAGCAUUCUCAAAAGUAAGCGGGUGGAAUAUUUCAUGAGGCAAGCACCGCUAGAGUCACAGAUGACAAUAAAAUGAGCUUUAACUCCAGUGAAAAGCAGAAUUCAACAGGAUCAACAAAACAGUCUGGAGAAUGUUUUUCCAACACUUGAGACAGUUCUUUUUAUCCUCCUUAUAUGGAGGCCCAACCCCCAUCUAUACAGCCAUAUAAAAUACAAAUUAUCUGCUUUGAACUGGAUAUGUGACUCAUAUAAUCCUGCUCAAAGGAGAUAAAUAGUAAUUCAAACUUCCAAACUUUUCUCAAGUUUUUUCUGCUUUCAUCUUUAAUAACAAUUCUACUUUUUUUGUUCAUGCCUGUCUUUAUGGUUCUGGUACUUCUAGUGAUAGAGCUAUGGCAAUAACUAUGGCUGGCAUACUGAAAGUGAGGAGUAUCAACCUAAGUCCAAUUUGCAUUAAGUAUUGUGUCAAAGUCUGCAGCCUUUCUUCCAAAGCUUGAUCAGAGGCAACCCGAGAUUCAAGCCAUAGUCUGUCCAAGAAAAAGGGGCAAGCAAAGCAAAUUCCAGUGUUGGUUCCAGAAGGUCAAAUACACAGAGUCUCACCAAAAAGUUCAAGUCUGAAAUCCAAAGAGCAUAGUUCAAGGUUCAAGGCAUGAGGUCACCAAAAAUUACUGGCUGUAACACCAACACAACGAUUGCUUCCAUCAACGAGCUGUUACAAACACCAGCCCUUUAUGCUGCUCCUGAAAAGUCCUUACAGCUGCGAGAUUCUCUUUUGAGCCUUACAAUUGGACCUUUGCAGCUGGAUGGCAUCAACCCUCCAGGCAGGGAGAGUUAUCUCCUGCUCUUUCUCCUGAAGAGCCUCAGCCUGCCCAGGCUCAGGUGCUUCCAUUCCUGGAGGGUCCUGCUCCUGCUCAGAAGUAGAAAUCCCUACAAUGUCAGGCUGCUCAUCCACCUGGGGCUCAGAUUCCUCUGCUGGGAGGAAACCCUCCUCCCCAUCAUCCUCUUCUUGCCCCGAGGUCCUGACAUAUUGUAACUCAUGGUUUUGGUCAUUGCACAGGUCAAAAAUCUUGAUGCAUUGCACCAUUAAACUCACCCCCAUUCCACCUUUUAACCAACAAAGCCACUCUGAAAUCAAUGAAGAACAGAGUGAUCAAUGGAUAUUUUCCUACAGAUGCAAUAACAUCUGCAGGAUCUUCCUGCAGGGCACCCAGAUACAUGACAAUAGAUGGCUGUGUCUUUCUUGGCCCUCCAUCGCUUAAAAAUGGAUAGGGGCUUGCCCUCAAGAGACAUAGCUAUGUGCUGGAUAUACGUCUCCCAAUGCAGGAUCUUAGCCUAAAUUUCCCACUCAAAUCCAACCUUACAUCAAAUAGCAAAUCCAAACCAUUGGAUAGCAUGGCCAAACCAUGGUUUGAAAGAGUGUGAAAACUAUUGUUUGAGCUAACCACGGUUUGAGCUAGCCACGGUUUUCACAUACUUUUAAACCAUGAUUUCCAAUACUUAUUUGCUAUCCAGUUUCAAAUUCAACUUUGUCAACUUUGCCUGUCCUCCCACACCAUAGCCAAGACUGAUUUACAGUGUUCCCUCACUUAUCGCUGGGGUUAGGUUCCAGGACCACCUGGAAUAAGUGAAAAUCCGCGAAGUAGGGACACUAUAUUUAUUUUAAUAGUUGUACAUUAUUUUAGUAGUUAUACACUAUUUUAAGUCUUUAUCAACCAAUCAUGUGUUGAUAAAUCGCCUCCUUCUCCUCCCAUUGCGGCUUGGGCUCCUUUUCUCUCCCUUCGGCUUCUCCUUCCUCCCUUCCUUAGGCUGUAAAUUGUAAUUUUUUAUGAUCUAUAAUAGUCUUUUAGAGUUUAUUGAAAAACCGUGAAACAGCGAAUCCACAAAAAGUGAACCACAAAGUAGUGAGGGAACACUGUACGAGGUUUUUGGCAUGACACUGAAAUUAAAUCUCCACAAGAAAGCUGUAGUGUUGUGAUACCACUGAUCUCAUCCAUCUUUUGUAGAGACCGACUCAUUUUACAGCUUACUUCUGCAAAAUGCCCUCUUGCAAUCUCAAAAAUAAACAGGUAGCACAUUUAAGGACACUAACCCUAUGGGGGAAAAAAACAAUUAACUCUUAAUGGUUGCUCUCGAGCACUGGAACAUUUUGUUUCCUUAUAUCUUCCAAAGGUUCAGCAUAAACAUCUAUCAAAGCCAAAAGCAGCUUCAACUGUUGAUGUUGGUGCUUCUAGUUUUCUGGCUUCACAUUUAUUUUACCAGGAACAGAACUUUUUAUUUCACACUCAAGGACUCCAUAUACGCCAGCCAAGUGCGAAAUACACAAAUGUUGCUGACAUCAAAAAUAACGAAAACUGGACACAAGAUUCCUUCUGGUUCUCCCAUGUAUUAUCACAGAGGGUGAAUCUACACUGUGGAAUCAAUGACACUACUUUAGCUGCCAUGGCUCAAUGCUAUGGCAUCGUGGGAACUGUAACAUAGUGAGACACCAAUAAUAUUUACAAAGAUGGCUAAAGAGCUUGUGAAACCAGAACAUUUAUGAUCCCACAGCAAUGAGGCAUGGCAGUUAUAGCAGUGUCAAACUGCAUUAUUUCUACAGUGUAGGUGCACUCCAAUAUGCACAUAUUCUACUUUCAUAAUGACACAAGAAUCAGAAGAGCAUGGUUGUUGUUCUCCCACAAAUCAUCCCCACACCGAAAGCCAUUCCAGUAUUUUCCAAGAAGCAACUUUUCUCAGAGACAUGACAAUUACUGCAGAAGAAUAUUGUAGACUUUGAAUGCAAUUAUUCAAAACAAAAUAAACCGUGAGCUAUUUGAGUCUAACUGAAAAGUUGUCUUUCCAUCCAAUGGCUCUCUGCCGCCUCUUCCUGUUUUUCUGAUCAGAUCUCCUGCCUGCCUGGCUUUCUCGCUCAUUCGUCCCCCACAAUUGGUUAAAAUACAAUCCACACCGUCGGCCAAAUCCAUGGGAAAGUAAUUCAGCUGGGCAACUAUGCCUGCCAGGUUGUGAAAUCUGAAACAUGACGCCAUGGAGGCUGGCCAGCUCUUUGGUCAAGCUGUUGACAAAAGCCGGGAGGGUAAGCUUUAUGAGUAGUCUGUGCACACCUGUGGGAUUUACUCUGCAAACAGGGAGACAUCUCCCCAACCUUGUCACCCUUCCCACCUUUUGUUUAUGGGCAAACAUAAUGCUAGGAAAAAAAGACACUGGAAACCAAUGCUAGCCAGACAAUAAAAAGCAGAACCACCCAACCUUCUAACAUUCACAAAGUCAACUGGUUCUAUCUUUUAGAGACAUUCAUCUCUCCAGAGAAUCAAGACAGUGACCUUUUAAAGAAAAUCAAAUAAGAGAUGGCUUGUAGGCAAGUGAACCAUGAACUAAAGUUCCUUGCUUGCAUAAUCUGAAUUGAAUACUUUCUACUGAUCAGAGUCAACACCAAAAAUACGAAAUUUUUAUCUCAAAGGAAGGGACUGGCAAAACCACCUCUGAGACUGGUGUCCCUUCUACACUGCCAUAUAACCCAGAUUAUCAAAUCAUAUAGUCCACAUUAUCUGCUUUGAACUGGAUUAUGUGGGUCUACACUGCCAUAAAAUCCAGUUCAAAGCAGACAAUCUGGAUUUUCAUACGGCAGUGUAGAUCCAGUCUGAGUAUUCCUUGUUUAAGCAAACUCUAUAAAAUUAAUGGAAAAUUCAUGGAGUGACUGUGAGUCAAAGACCACUUGACAUCACAGAUGAAUACAUUUUUACAAGAUUCAGGUAUACUAUCAAUUUUAAGUAAACAUGACCUUAAAUACAUAACAAAAGGACAACUUGUAUCUGACCCCUAGCCUCUAUAUACAGAGAGAACAUAAUGUAACCUGGGCUACUUAUAUAUUCAGACAUUUCAAAAUAUAUUUUUAAUUAUUUGCUUCUAAUGAUUGGGCGCGCUUAGCUAGCUGCUGAAUAUUCGUUUCUAAGCAGCUAACGCAAUCCACUACAUGUAGUAGGAUUUACAGGGUUUAGCAUUGGCCAUGUUGGCUGGGGAAGAUCCUGUUAUCCCAAAAAAGUAACUUAUCUAAACUUUGGGGGAUAUAGGCUGAAGUUGGUUAAUGCAAACUUGUGACUGUCAGCGUAAACCGAAAACAAGAACCUUUGAUUACUUGUUCCGUUUUUACAAAAAGGGGAAGGACUUAUUGGCCCAAGUCCGAUUCUGUUGGAAACUCAUGGUGCUUUCCAACUCUUUUCUGUUUAUUUCUCAUCAUAAAAAAAUAAAAUAAAAUCUUGGCACAGCUUUGCUCUUGUUCAGCCAGAAUUACCAGAUUGAUUCUUUUAGACUUUGACCAAGACUACAGGCUGUAAAAACCCAAAUGACACUAGGUAAAAGUAAAUGUAAAGUUUUUCCCCUUGACAUUAAGUCUAGUCAAGUUCAACUCUUGGGGGUGGGGGGUGAACUGGUGUUGUCCAUAGACACCUCCUAGGUCAUGUGGCCGGUGUGAAUGCAUGGAGCACCGUUACCUUCCCACCAAAGCGGUACCUAUUGAUCUACUCACAUUUGCUUGUUUUUGAACUGCUAGGUUGGCAGAAGCUGGAGCUAACAACAGAAGCUCACCCCCACUCUGCAGAUUCGGACUACCAACCUUUUGGUCAGCAAGUUCUGCACCUCAAUGGUUUAGCCCACUGAGCUACCGUGGCCCCAAUGACACUAGGACAGGCACCCUACUGAAGCACAAACCAAUGGCUUUAAACUGCAAGAAAAGAGAUUCUGCUUAAACAAUAAAAAGUACAGCACACUCAUUUCAUUUAAAGAUCCCUGCACAUUUAAAUUAAAAAAGUAUUUCCUUGAUGGUGGAGCAAGAUCACAUACACACUCACAUUUAAGUUAUACUCCAAUCAAUUAAUUAACCAUGAAACAACUAGUCAACUGAAAGUUUUUCAUUAAGAUGACAGCCCUGUAAUUUAAAUGUUAAUAUUAAAGUCUAAUGGAGCCAUUUAUUUUUUAAUCUAUGUAACAGUCAUGAGGAAGGGGAAUGCUGUAUCUCACCCAGAAACAAUUCAUAUCAAUAAAACAGACAACCUUGGUUGGCUUCCUUGAUCUCACACUUACCCAGCUUUCUUUAUGCUGCAAUGCUACACACACUUACGCAGGAGUAAGGUCCAAUGAACUCAUUAAUGCUUACUUUACAGAAGAUGUAGGCUGACCUAUAUACAAGGUGUUACCACUGGUAUAUCAGCAAUUGCUUAUCUCAGUGAUUUUCCAUUCCACUACCAUAUAUACUAACUUAAUUCUCCAUGUCUCUCAUGGUGCCAUUACAUACUGUUUUGUUUAUAGGUUGCACAUUAUGUUUUAUGUAUUCUAUUGCUGACCACCAACAAAAGAACACUGGUUAUUGGUUGAUUUAAAAGGUAAAAUAAAUAAAGUGGCCUUUAUCAACGUACACAAAUUUUGUUUUAUGCACAAAUUAAUUAAAACUAAUAUAAAGUAUUGUAUGAAAUUACUUACAGGCCAUGGGUUUAAGAGGUAUACGGAAAAUAACAAACUUCAGGUCUAGACUAGCUAGGAUCCCAUUUCUCAUUAUGUAUAUGCAUGCAUGUUUGUUUGUGUGUCUUUAUGUAUAUAUGUAAUAUAUCUGUAUACAAAUACAGGUAUUCCAAGAUCUGAAAAAUAUCCAAAACCCGAAACACUUCUGAUUCCAAACAUUUCAGAGAAAGAAUAUUUUACCUGUAAUGCUAGUCAAAACACUUUAAAACCUGAAGAUCAACCAGGUCUAUUUAAUGACUUACCUUUUUGGCUAGUUAUAAGAAGUUUGUAUUGAUGUGUUUGUUUACUGUUUUGGUUUGGUUUGAUUCUAUUGUUUAUUAUGGUACUGAAUGUUUGCCAUCUUUUAUUGGAAACCGCUCUGAGCCUUCCCAGGUUAUAAAGUUAUAUUGUUGUUAUUAUUAAAACCCUAAAAAAAAAAAUCAGUGCCACAAUCAGUUUAUCAGGGCAUACUGAAAUGUUUUUAUUUUCCCAGAAUUAACUAACAAUAAAACUACUGUAUAAUAUUUACAGUUUCCUGCUCUAGACAUAUAAUCAAGAAGGCACAACUCUUAACGUACUCUGAAUCAAGUCUUGCCAAAGCAUUACCAUUGAGAUAUAUUGAAUUACAACUUCCAUCAUCCACAGCCAGGAACCCCUUUUUUGUGGAACCUGGUUUAGUAGCACCAUUUGCAGUUUGGCACCAUAUAGUCCAUGGUAAAUCCAAGAAUGGAAAAUUUCUGUGAUUGACUCCCUUCCCAUUUUGACGCUUAACGGUUAAUCCAGUCCUAUGGGGUUGAUGGUAUCGAAAGCCCUGAGAGGUCCAGCAGAACCAAUAGAGAUACCAGUCCCCUGCCCAGUUCCCAAUGUAAGUCAUUCACCAAAGGUGACUGAAGUGGUCUCCAUCACAUAAAACAGCAGUCAAAUUGAAACAAAUUACAUAACUGAAGACUUGGAUGUUUCGGCAGGCCUUCGGAAAUACAGUCAAUUAAUCAGCCCCAGAGGGUUUUUAAUAAUCUAUCCUGUUUUUAUUACGGUCUUACCAUUUAUGUAUUUUAAAUGUAUUUUUUUUAUCCUGUAUUGUUGUUUACAUUGAUAUACUGUAUUACUGUUUUAUCUUUUUAUAUUGUGAUUGUGUUGUGUUGCUUAUAUUUUGUUCUUAUGUUGUUUUGGGCCGCUACCCCAUGUAAGCCACCCCGAGUCCCCGCAGGGAGAUGGUGGCAGGGUAUAAAUAAAUAAUAAUAAUAAUAAUUAUUAUUAUUAUUAUUAUUAUUAUUAUUAUAUACAAACCAACCUCACAUAUAAGUCAAAUGAAGGUUCUGGGUCCAAAAUUAUGGAUUUCAGUAUAACCUGUGAAUAGCUUGAGGGUCAUUCCAUGAAGGGCAACAGCCAACCCACCUGCUAUUUAUCAUUAUUGUUACAUGAGGCAUUCAAAACAGCUAGAGGUGGUACAGUACUAUUAUGUUUUCCCAGGAAAGGACACUCUAUUAAAGAAGAUAUAGCAUUUAAACUGACCCAACAUUUUGGGUCAGUUUUUGGCUAAAAUUUCUAAACGUAUGCACAAGUAUAUACAAGAGAUAUCCAUCUCACCCAAGAAAGAACUCCUGAAGUUGCGAAGUUGCGAAGUUUAAAUUUUGUUGAAGGCAUUUCUUAAAAUGCAUGUGGCCACUCACCUUUUUGUUUCUACUGAACUUCUGUCCCAUACCUCCAUUCUCUUUGCACUCUGCUAUGCAGAGCUAUUCGCCCUGGAGCCCAUGAUCCUUCUCUAUUGACCCUGCUGUUCUGAUGUAUGUGUUCUCGCCAUUUUUCAAGUCAAAAGUGAUCUGGCAAUUUUGCUUCCGUGUAGAAGGGGAGAGGAAGUGGCUUUCGAUGACACAAGCACGGUCAAAAGCAAGAGACUACGUGACUCACAAGAAAAAAUGUUAUGUUCUCUGUGUCAUAUCACCAUCCUCCAGCUGGAUCAUUUCCUCGGGUGAUGCAAACAGGGUUGGUCUUACACCAGUCAGAAGCAAGUGAAGGCUGGUGUAAUGAACAGAAAUUUGAGGAAGCUUGUAUUUUAAAAUAUAGAUUGUAGAAGUGUGAACAGAGUAAAUGUGUGCCAGUAUACAUUUCCACCGUAUUGGGUGAAUCAAAGAAACAGGACAGAGCUCUCCAUCAAAUAGGGUUGGUACCAAAUCUGAGUGCCUUUGAUGGUCUUUCAAAGUGGUAGCAGUGGUAAGGAUUGGGAGGUAGGAUUUUAUUUAAAUUCAAUUCAUUUUAAUCUAGUUUUUUAAACUUAAUCCACACUGUAUUUUUAAUUAUUUUAAUGACAAAUUUUAAACUUCCAUUCUAUGUCUUACUGUUUUGUAUGCAUUUUAAUAUGUAUUUUAUGGAAAUAUGUUUUUAUAUGUGUAUUCUACAGAGCAUUUUUCAAUGAUUAUGUGUUUUGAUAAUGUUGUGACCCACCUCGAGUUGUGAGGAGAGGCAGGAAAGAAAUAAAAUUAUUAUUAUUGUG